GACGAACGCUGGCGGCGUGCUCACCCCUGCCAGUCGCACGGAAAGGCCCUGCUUUUGUGGGGUGCUCGAGUGGCGAACGGGUGAGUAACACGUGAGUAACCUGCCCUUGACUUUGGGAUAACUUCAGGAAACUGGGGCUAAUACCGGAUAGGAGCUCCUGCUGCAUGGUGGGGGUUGGAAAGUUUCGGCGGUUGGGGAUGGACUCGCGGCUUAUCAGCUUGUUGGUGGGGUAGUGGCUUACCAAGGCUUUGACGGGUAGCCGGCCUGAGAGGGUGACCGGCCACAUUGGGACUGAGAUACGGCCCAGACUCCUACGGGAGGCAGCAGUGGGGAAUAUUGCACAAUGGGCGGAAGCCUGAUGCAGCAACGCCGCGUGCGGGAUGACGGCCUUCGGGUUGUAAACCGCUUUCGCCUGUGACGAAGCGUGAGUGACGGUAAUGGGUAAAGAAGCACCGGCUAACUACGUG
rnacentral:rRNA from 1 species